UACGGAGGGGACUAGCGUUGUUCGGAAUUACUGGGCGUAAAGCGCACGUAGGCGGAUUUGUAAGUCAGGGGUGAAAUCCCGGGGCUCAACCUCGGAACUGCCUUUGAUACUGCAAAUCUCGAGUCCGGAAGAGGUGAGUGGAAUUCCAGGUGUAGCGGUGAAAUGCGUAGAUAUCUGGAGGAACACCGGUGGCGAAGGCGACAUCCUGGACCGGUAUUGACGCUGAGGCGCGAAAGCCAGGGGAGCAAACGGG
rnacentral:rRNA from 1 species